UAGAAUAGUAGUGCUGGUAAGGGAUUUAAAUAAAUUGUUAAAUAAGAGAAAAUUUUGUUUAACUAAUUAUUGUUCAGAGUUAUGAAUCCAAAACAAAAACAAAUAUUCUGUUGAUUUACGCAUGUCGACUUGCUUACGAUAACAGUGCAAUGAAGUAAACACUUUGAGAAGAAUUCCUUGUAGUAAUAAAUUAAAACACAAUAAAAUACAUUUAAUAUCUUACUCAGGGUUAUCCUGACCUCGUUGCAUAAUGACAUUUCCAAUACACAAAUUGUUAGCCUAAAAAGUUCUGUUCAUUUUGAUUGCAACAAAAGCAUUAUAAUUCAUCGUAGUCUUCGUUAGUUAGGUUAAUGAACCUAGCUAUGCAAGAAGAGUUGGACGAUACUAAUAAAUUGUCAGCAAAUGUGCAGUAUAUUAAUUAUACUUACAAUCAAUCUCUUCCGGUUUACAGAAGCAACGUCCCUUUCUAGGGCAAUGAAGAAGAGGAGCAUGAGAAUAUCCUAUUUCGUCAAAGUAAUGCAGUUUGUUUCUAUCGAGAAAUAAACUUAAUGCUAUAGAAUGUACUGGAGCAUCACCCCAUCUCUAAAAAUUGUUUUAGCAAUGUUGCAAAUUCUUCCGUUGACGUUUGGUCAUACCUCAUAAAAAAAGCCACCCUUUUUAUCUAAAAAAUCAAAAUAUUUUCUGUAAGAAUCACUUCUGAAAAAAUCGAGAUCCGCUAUUUCAAAGUUUGACCACUUGCAAUAGUUAGUAAAUAGAAAUAUUGUUACUCGCUUCACUUACAAAAUGGCAGUGGCUAAAUUUUUUUCCAUUAUCAUCUGAAAUCCAUUCCCAUAAAUUGUUUUUCGCCAGUGUUUCAGGAUAUUUCUCAAUAAAUUCCAAGGUACUAUUCCAUAAUGAUGGUACUGUUUGUCCGAUCUCAAAUAACGUUAUGACAAAUCCAUAGGUUUUAUUCAGUAAUCUCAGUUGUCGGAAAGGAUCUUUGUUCACUUCACAUAAAAGCUUAGUUGAAGGUUCAACUCUCCAAUAAUAUUUAUAAGGAUCAAGUAAAGGAUGUCUCCAAAAAAAUCCAGAGAAAUAUCGACACAUUUGACGAUAUGAUUUCAUGCCUCCAUAAAGUACGCCUUCCCUUGAUAGGCGAUUCCAAUUGGAAUGUGCAAUAUCCAUAUCUAUCCAUUUUGGAAUAUCCCAUUCACUACUGUUCACGACACCAAAAUAUGUUGGACCACUAGUUAGACGAGACAUGACCACUUCAAAAGUUCGAGUAAAUGGUUCAUCAUUUAGAAAAACCCAAGGAUAGUUGUGCUUCGAAUUAAACCGAUUUUCAUAUAUAUUUAUUGUUUCAAUUAAAUCGUAAAGGUCCGCAUUCCGUGCUAAAGUUACGAACGUAGCAUUCUCCAAUUCCUUCGAUUUCAAAUUUCCAUCUAAUAAACGAUCAUUGUAAUAGUUUAAACGCUCCUCUAGUUUAUACACAUUUAAAGUAUUCACCAAUGCUUUUGGUAUUGAAGGAAAGAGGAUGUAUGUAAUGAAAAGUAUCACGAAUCCCAAAAGUACUCUAAUCAGCAAUCUUGAUAUCCGCAUUUUUUUUUGAUAAAUACCGACUAACCCAAAUAAUCUACAAAAAUUUUAGUUUUUCAAUGCUAGUAUUUAGCUUCCAUUAUAACUGCAAGACAAAAUGAAUAUCAAUUAUUUUACCUUCGGUUAUUCACUUUGCUCUAGUGAAGUCAGUAAUCACAUUAUAGGUGUCAGGAGAGGCCUAUACCGUAGGUCAGAAAAACUAAUACACUCAUAUUUUUGGCAUAAAGCUGCACGACUUUUUAAAAAGUUUUUUAAAAAACAUGUUAAUAAUUAUUUCGGAGGAAAAGCCUU